rnacentral:lncRNA from 1 species
CCUACCCUAAUCCACGACGGCCGCCGCCUCCCACCCCAACUCGUCGCUGGCCGUCGCCUCUAGUUCCACCUGCGCCGAGCGAGGCUGGGCGCCGUACGUAGGGGCGCACCUCGCCAUCGAGAGGAUCUGAGGCCGUACGUCUGGAUCUUCGAUCUGCCCUUGUCGACACCAACAUGAUCGAUCUCCACCUGUUCUCCUCGAUCUCUAGUCACCACCCUCCCCUUGGUACGCUCGAAAACUCCAACUGAUCAACAUCGCGAACCCUAUAUACAAAAGCAGUUAGUACUUGAUUUGCGCUGAGGUGCUGCACUGCAAAAACCGAGUCACUGGGCUUGGCAGCAGACGCAGCAUGGUCUUGAGUUAGUUUUUUUUGCACUGCAGAUUAUUGUUUUUUUUUUGCAGGAUAGUCUAGUGAUAUAUACUGAUUGCUUUAUUUUAUUUAGAGUUAUUAGGUUAUUGACCUGAUAGCAUGCAAGUUUAUUGGGCCUUGUUUAGAUCCAAACUAUUUUUUUAAACUUCCAACUUUUCUAUCACAUCAAAACUUUCCUAUACACACAAACUUUCAACUUUUCCGUCACAUCGUUCUAAUUUCAAUCAAACUUUCAAUUUUGAUGUGAUCUAAACACACCCGGUGUACUAAAGAAUUUCAUGAGCAUUGAAUAGCAAUGGAGAGGCAGCUUGAUCUGGCAAGAACAACUGAAUGGUGCAGUACGGCACAAGAUAUUAACCUCUUUUCAGCAAAACUCAUAUGACAUAACCGAUUGAAUGAUCCUGACAUAAAUAGGGUGUGGACCCCCGUUUUUAUAACAGGAAUCAAUCAUGUAAACAGUACCAUUUCCCUGGAUCAAGUAGUCUGGUACACACGAAUUCAUAGCUGAAAUACUAAGUGCACAUACACGAGUGUCUAGUACGAAUUAUUACAUCAUAAGCCCGCAAGCAUAGUCUUAAAUCAUCGGACCGAGCGGUCCGGAAUACAUUCCAAAAACAGAAGUAGGUAAGGCAGCGGAGUUAAGGCAGCGGCACGCCAUUGCCACAGGCAACGACCGUAACUAAGACCUACUGAGCGCCAUCGUCUUCAUCACCCUCCUGGUAGUAAGCGUAGGGAUCCUCCGAAGCUUCAUCUCCGACCUCUGAUUAAGUUUGUAUAUUGCAAGGGUGAGUACCAACCGUACUCAGCAAGCCACCACAACAACAAUGCAUAUGACAAGGGUAUUCAAAGGAUGGCUAUGGUUCUUUUGCGCAAAGCAAGUUUUGUAAUUCUUUUCACAAGCCUAAGACCUAGCACAGACUGAUCAAAUUUUAGUACCAGUGUUCAUAUUAUACAAUGACGGUUCUGUCCACCAUCCAUUGUGAUCCCAAGGAUAGCUUCCCGCCAUUGAGUCGUCAUGGUUUUCUGAGGACGUCCACCUUCCCGCCUCUCAGGAAGUGGCUCCAUCAGCAUAGAAAUCAUCAUGCAAUAUCCCAUUCCACACAAGUUAAGAAUUUAGAGUCUAGCCAAGUGUAAUACAUGUCCCGGUGCUCAAUAACCGCGAGCAUGACUAUUCGAAUAGAUUUGGUUUACUCACACUGCAGUGGAUGUACACUUUACCCGCACUCCGCGACUGCCCAACACAUGAGCCUCGUCCCAACACAUGAGACGCGUCACGGCAAAGCCUUUUGAUAACCUCGCAUUGGCAGUACCCGCUCCAUGAACUUUACAUCCUCAUGCACUCUAGACGUACACGGUUUCUAGCAGUGAGAGGAGUUCUGGCGCACCCGGGAAGUGAAGACUCACACAUGCAUUAAGUUAUAAUUAUGUUUAGAUUCUCACAUGGCAGUCCUACCGAUGGCGACACCACUGUAGACACCCGCCUCGCGGUCCUACCAAUGGCUGCCCCACCGUAGAGCCCCUGCCUCACACAUCAAGGAACUGCUAUGCAUGGAUACUGCCUCCGCUCAGCUAUCUACUCCGCUAGGUCUAUACCCAUUCGAGAAGUACGGUUGUACGGGGGUCGUUUCAUGCUUAACUUCAUGGCUCGGUCCUUAAUUGACCAGGGACGGCACUAGCCUUUUCCGGAUACCACCCAAAUCCUCCAUCCGCCCCAGUCGAAAACAUUUGUUUAGUUUCAUUUUCCUUUCACAAAUCAUGCCAUCAAUAUCAUGGCAAUGUGGCGCUCAUGUCUCCACAUGCCGCAUCUCAAUUACCUUCCCAAAGGUAAUUGCCCAAGCAUAUAUCAUUUGAUAAAUAUGAGUAUGCAUAAAUCUAGAGUAGCAUUUCUAAGCAUUUGUCAUAGUUGACUAGGGACUUAUACGUAAAUCAUGGUUACAAGGAUUUAAGGAUAAACAAUAAUCAUGGCAUGGCAUAAUCACAAGUAGGAUGUUCAUCAUUGCAUGCGAUUUUAUUUGUAAACAAAACAAUUUCGCAAUUGGGAUCAACAUGUUCAAAGAAUAGUGAUGACUUGCCUUGCUCAAAGUCUUGCGGGUCUUGGCCUUCACUUGGAUCCGCAACUCCCUCGGGCUCUAUAGUUACGUGCAAAAAUUGAUUUGAAUUCGGUUAGAAUUCAAAUAAAAUCCAAGUAAAUCCAAAUGGAAGUCGAAUGCGAAAGUCGAUUCUUUUAUAUUAACUUUACUAUUCGCGAACUAGGGCAAACCCAAUUUCGAUCUAUAUAUCCUAAACUAUUUUGUGGGUAUAAAUAUUUUGUUAUCAUAAGUUUUUAAUUUAAUCUACCCUAGCAUUAUAUCCAUAUAAUAUGUUAGAAAUUUCUAUCGCGAGCUAAAUAUCGGACGGAAUCCUAAAAUUAUCUUAUAAUAUUAUACGAUUUAAUUUAGUCUAUGACUAAACGAUUAAAUAUAAUAUACGUCUAAAAUUCCUAGUGAUUAAAUCCGAAUUUCUACCGUGAAUCGAUUACUUAUAGAGAUUACCCAAAAAAUAAUCUAUAAUAGUCUAUAAGAAUUCAUCUAAUUGUUUAGUUAUUAAUUACAUCUAAAUUACUACCGCGGAUUGAUUUCUUAUGGAAAUUACCAAGAAUAAUCUAUAAUUUAUACUAAAUUUUGCAAUUCUACGACUAUAAUUAAUCUAUAAUUAAAUUAUAAUUAUUUUAAAAUUUCUAAACUAUUAACCUCCCUAUUCUAUUUCCCUUUUUCCUUUUUUCUUUUCUUUCCUUUUCUCUUUUCUUUUCUUUCCUUUUCUCUUUUCUCUCCCUCUCUUUCUUCUUCUCUCUUUCUUCUUUUCUCUCUUUCUCUCCCUCCCGGCUUCUUCUCCCUUCUCUCUCUCGGCUCUCUGGCGACGGCGGCCGAACAAGGGAAGGGGGUGGCAGCUUACCGACGGCGGCGGCGGCGACGGCGGCACGACGAUGGCGCACGGCGCGGCGGCACGAAGGCGGCGGUGCGGCGGCGCGAGGGCGGCGCGACGACGGCGCACAGCGCGGCGGCACGAAGGCGGCGGUGCAGCGGCGCGGUGACACAAAGGCGGUGGCUCGGUGGAGAGGGAAGAGGGGAGGAAGAGGGAGAUGGAGUGGGGGAAAUGGAGAGGGGGAAGUAUUUAUAGGGAAGAGGGGGAGAAGGAGAGGGGAAGGGGCGGUGGCUUAUGGCGACGCGACGGGCGGCGCGUGGCGCGGCAGGCGGCGAUGGCGACGGGCGGGCAGCGCGGCGCGGGGCACGUGGCGGCGACGCGACAGGCGAGCGGCGCGGCAGGGCGCGUGGCGCGAGGCGACGACGCGACGGGCGAGUGACGCGCGAGCGCGGGGCGCGAGGCGGCGAGAGGGCGGCGCGCGGCGACGGCGCGGAGCGGCGACGCGACGGGCGGCGGCGACGUGGGCUCAAGGCCGGCUAGGGCGCAGAGGUGGGAGAGGAGGGGGAAGGCUAGGGACUGCAUCGAACACCUAUGCCAUAAUGAACAGUGUAUUUUCCCAUUUAUCCCGAUUUUAGUUUAUUUCCUAUAUAAAUUUGAUUCUAUAAUUUCUAAAUCUUGCAUAAAUGAAGUUUACUCAAUAUGUGUAUUAUCCCAACCAAUGGAUCCACUCUAGAUUAAUUGUACCCAUAUUUUAUUUUUAUAUAAUUUACUUGAUUUUAAUUAGAGUUAAUUCUCACUCCGUCGUAUUUAGAUUUAAUUAAUACGAAUAUGAUCGCGAUAUUAUUUUAUUCAUUUCUAUCCUCACCUCAACCUUUAUUUUAAAUUAUAUUUCAGUUAUUUAUUUUGCUCAUUUAAUUUUAGGUUUUAUUCCUAAUCAAUUGUUCUUUAUUUGCGUUCUACAAACUCCGAAAUCAAAAUUCAAUGGAAUAGGUAAAUAAAAUCGGCAUUAUGCAGUUUAUUUAAAAAGUUUUUGAAGGCCCAUAUUUUUAGAGUUUAGAUUUUUGUCGGUCGAAUCUUCAGGGUGUUACAUAGGGUGUGCAUCAUUUUGUUUUCAGAUUAUUCUAUUGGUUAUAUAUUUAGAAAUUUUCAGUUCAAAUCUAUUUUAGUAGGAACCCAAGAUUAGUACACUCCAUUGGCCUGGCCCAAAUAUAGUACCAGGGGAGCAACCACUUUUCAGGUAGGAUUCCAAGUUUCCAAUAGUUCCUCCAUUGUCGGUCAUUCAUGGGCUUGAUUUGUUACCCACAACAAGUUAGAUGCAAUACAUAGGAAUAUGACACCUCCGAUCAUAGUUAUUAGGACUGGACCGGACAUUGAACCGGUCAAGUGCUUGGUUCACGGUUUGAUUGGUUCAACCGGUCAGACCACCGGCUUAAUCCAGUUUAUAUAUAGUAAUUUCUAUAGCAAAUGCACAAUACAAGUCAUAGCUCAGUGGUAGGGAAUCUUUCCUCCCAGGCACAGGUCAUGGGUUGAACCAUGGUCAAGCUGUUUUAUGGCAUUUAAUCCUGCUAGUGCGGAGGGUGGCCACGCACGUCCACGUGACUGCCAGUUUUUUAGCGGUUUACUAAGGAAAAAACCGCCCGGUUCAAAGGAAAACCCACCGGUUCAUCCGGUUUUUACCGACUCGAUUGCACAGACGGUUUUUUAAUCGAACCAAACCGGUGAGGGCUCUGGUUCCGGUUUUUUUGGGUUGGACUGUCGGUCCGGUCCUAAUAACUAUGCCUCCGAUGGAUUGUUUCUUUUAACUAGUUGAUGAUUCCUUCAGUGCUAUUCAAUAUCAGUGAAGCUACUGCUGACACUAUCUCAAUUAUGAUGAGUUACAGUACUCAUGGGUUAAUAACGAUGUUACAAUACUAAUUGCGAAAUAUAAAUGUAGUAAAGCUCUCUGAAUUUACAGGACUUAGAUGAAGCUAGUUGGUGACAAAGCAUUCCUCAUUCCUUGAGCAAGAAGGUAAGUUAAGCUUCUUUUCAGAAUAAGAUGUUCUUUCUUAAUCCUACUGCAAAAGAUAAGCAAUUAUUUGAACAUGCACCUGUUAGGUUUAAAUUCUACCUUAGGUCACAAUAAAUUCAGUCUAGCUUUGUUUAGGCAAAAUGUUCUAUUGUGCUUUAUUUUCAACAUGGACAAACAAUUAUUCGAAUAUAAAAUGUGCACACAACAUAUCUGCAAAAAUUGGCUCCUCUCAACACUACGAUUUUCUAAAGUAUGUGGGGUUGUUUUAUCAUAUCAAUUUUUGUGCAGUGAAUGGAAGUGAUGCGUACUUAAAAUGACAUCAUAAGAGGUAAACUCAUGCGCCUUAACGAAUUUUAUGUAUGAAGUACCACAUAUACAGCUCGUUUUAACUAGCUAGUAUCAUUUUUUGUUGGUUGUAUAGAAUCAAUGGUGAGACAAUGAGAACGGUGCAUCUGAAGACAAUACCUGCGAAUGAUGAUGGGAUCGAAUGAUAAAGGAAUUGUCCACUGCACCUCCAAUCACAUAUUUAUAGAUUGAGUGUUAUAAUUUUGAUAGAAACUAAGAUGUUAGUUCUGUUUGAAAUACUUAGUUAUUUAGUUGGAUGUUCCAAACAAAUUAUUAUUAUGUAUUUCAAUUGAAUAAAUUUGGUUGGUUGUGUCAGAAUAUAUGGUGAUAAGCAUGCAUGUUAAUUCCUAGAUGUGCAGACUGCAAUUGUAUGGUUCUCUACUAUCAAGGAUAGUGUACCAUGGUGAUAAUCAUUGGAUGUUAACAGAG